rnacentral:rRNA from 1 species
AGUCACUGACAUUAGACUACCCCGGUAGUCCCAGCCGUAAACUAUGCGCGUUAGGUGUACUGGUGACCACGAGUCACCGGGGUGCCGAAGGGAAACCGUGAAACGUGCCGCCUGGGAAGUACGGUCGCAAGGCUGAAACUUAAAGGAAUUGGCGGGGAGCACCACAACGGGUGGAGCCUGCGGUUUAAUUGGACUCAACGCCGGAAAUCUCACCGGAUAGGACAGACAUAUGAUAGUCGGGCUGAAGACUCUACUUGAUGAUCUG